UUCCUGAUGUUUAGUCGGAAUCUCCUUUCUUGCAACUUGAAGCCAUUCGAGUUCUACGCUCCAGAGCAGGAGAAAACAAGAUUGCUCCCUUCUCCAUGUGACAGCCCUUAAGAUAUUUGAAGAUGGCUAUCAUAUCUCCUCUCAGUCUCCUCUUCUCCAGGCUAAACAUACCCAGCUCCUUCAACC